GUGGGGAAUAUUGGACAAUGGGCGAAAGCCUGAUCCAGCCAUGCCGCGUGUGUGAAGAAGGCCUUCGGGUCGUAAAGCUCUGUCUUCAGGGACGAAAAGGCAGGGGAGUAAUAUGCCCUUGUUGUGACGGUACCUGAGGAGGAAGCUCCGGCUAACUACGUGCCAGCAGCCGCGGUAAUACGUAGGGAGCGAGCGUUGUUCGGAAUUACUGGGCGUAAAGGGCGCGUAGGCGGGAAUUUCAGUAAGGUGUGAAAACUCCGGGCUCAACCUUGAGACUGCACUUUAAACUGGAUUUCUUGAGGGCAGGAGAGGAAAGUGGAAUUCCUAGUGUAGCGGGGAAAUGCGUAGAUAUUAGGAGGAACACCAGUGGCGAAGGCGACUUUCUGGACUGUACCUGACGCUGAGGCGCGAAAGCGGGGGGAGCGAACAGGAUUAGAAACCCCGGUAGUCC
rnacentral:rRNA from 1 species